rnacentral:sRNA from 1 species
UUUAUUGGUUGGAGGUCGAGGGGUGAGAAGCUAGUCAGGUUCGACACCCGAGCGGUAGCGAGGGUGAACGCCCGCAGCGAAGCGAGGACGGCCCGGAGGGCGAGGGCCGCAGGCCCGAGUAAUCCUAGUCCCCCAGCCA